AGAAAGACUCGCAAGAACAGAGGUUGGAUGGGAGACUAUUCCAAGCAGGUACAAAAGGGUGAAGUUGGCAUCCACCCCUUCCCAUGGGAAGGUCUCCGCCGACCUCUGUGUCUGUGGCUCACAGCAGAUGCCUUCAGCACCCAGGUGCUGACUCAGCCAGACACACUCCACAUCCUGGUCACCUGCUGUUUCCCAUUUAGCCGUAAGAAACAGCAGAUUCCUUGCGGUUAAAGAAGCCUAAGAAGGUUCCCUUGCAGAGGCUGAAGAGCGACUGCAUCACUAGCAGCCGGGGUCCCCGGGAAGCUGUCAUGAGGCCCGUGUUACCCAGCUCUCAGUGACAAAGCGAACGAGGCCGUGACCUGGGGAUGCCCAAAGAAUGUCACAGCAGAGAUGGUCACUAGGAUGACAAUCUCCAGGUCCAUCCAUGUACCAGUUUUUCAACUUGUGUCUAUAGCCAUGGAGCUCCUGAGUGACAGCCACUCAGCCCACUGCUCAGAGGCUUGUUACAGAAUUAAACGUGGUGUGUCCCUGAAGGGAAGUUGAACAAUUGUUUGAUGGCGUGCUAACAGAUGACGUGGAGCGGAUGUGUCCGGAGCACGGGGAAAGGAAGUGCACCUGCCUUGAGAAGCUGGAAAUGGAGCUGGGAGGACCUGGGCCUUAUUCACAAGAUUCUGUUUCCUGGGCUCAAGCCUUGGGACGUGGGCCUGUUGUCAGUGGACAAAGGGCCUUAAGUCAUCUUUGGCUCAGGCCAGGGAUGAGGCCAGGUUUGUGGCUUGCACUGAGGGCUUGUGCCUGCAGGACCCAAUGAAUGGAAGAAGGUGGUAGGACCAGGGGGUUUGAAAGAGCCCAGGAGAAGGGAGGGACCAAUUGAAAGAGUAACACUGAAACAUAUACAUUACCAUAUGUAAAAUAGAUAGCCUUGGGAAUCUGCUGUAUUUAUCAGGGGGCUCAAACCCAGGGCUAUGUGGCAACCUAAAGGGGUGGGAUGAGAUGGGAGCUGAGAGGGAUGUUCAAGACGGAGGGGACGUAUGUAUGUACCUAUGGCUGACUCAUGGUGAUGUACAGCAGGAACAGAAUAUGGUACAGCCGUUAUCCUCUAAUUAACAGUAAAUUUAUUUUUAAAAAUCUAAAAAAAAAAAAAAAAGAAUCCAGGAAUGGUGACAGGUAAGGAGGUGUGGUUCUUCUGCAGAAAAAGGGUGAAAAAUCGGGAGACAGGGUUUCUGGACCCUGCUGUUGGUUUUCUGUGAAAUUUGGGGCAGGUCACUUCCCCCGUCUGGGCCUUAGUUCUCCCACCGAAAAUGUGCCAUUGUUAUACAUUCUGGUACCAGAGCCCACGCUCUUAACACACUCUGCUGGCUCUCUUGUUGGACAUUGGAAACAGUCAUUUCUACUUAGCUUUGGUGAGCUUUGUCUUUCUUUCCAUUCCUAUGCUGUUUCUACUUAAUUUUUAUCUUCUUUCAAGACUACUGGUCUUGUCUUUUUAAUUUUGAUAUAAUGGUGAAUUGAAAUAAGUUAUUUAUAACUGUAGAUUAAUUGUACUGUUAGUAAGAAAAUUUGAAAGAUAAUCCUUGAUCAAACCAAUUUUAUAAUU